rnacentral:rRNA from 1 species
GUGCCAGCAGCCGCGGUAAAACGUAGGUGGCGAGCGUUAUCCGGAUUUACUGGGCGUAAAGCGUGUGCAGGUGGCCUGUUAAGUGGUGUAUGAAAUCGCCCGGCUCAACCGGGCGGGGUUAUGCCAGACUGGCAGGCUAGAGGGUGGGAGAGGGAUGUGGAAUUCCGGGUGUAGUGGUGAAAUGCGUAGAGAUCCGGAGGAACCCCAGAGGCGAAGGCGGCAUCCUGGCCCACGACUGACACUCAGACACGACAGCAUGGGGAGCGAACGGGAUUAGAAACCCGGGUAGUCC